UGCUAGCAACUUAACAUUUCGUGGUACUUAAACGUUUUUCUAGCACUUCAAUGCAGAAUUAUGGAAUUGGACAUUGGUCUGUGCUGUGGAUGUGUUUUUUCUUUUCUCUAUGCAAUUUCUCUACUAGUUGCAGUGAGGCACUUGAAUUGUAGUCAUCUUAGCAAACCUGAGUGUUUUCAAAGAUUGCUGACAAGCCUUUGAGUAAUCUGUAUUGGAUAUACAUGACUGCACGUUGGCAAAAUAGUUUCUAAGUACAAAGAGUUGUGUGAAUCCGUAAAUAGGUGAUCUCAUCCGUAGGGGACUUGGUAGUGAAUUCUGCAGCACAACCGUACCUUUGACAGCAUCUCCAUGAGGACACGUGGUAGAAAGUAUUUCCUGAGAUGAAGUUUGUACACCUACUGAGACUGACAGCUGACAGACCCACUUCUACUAACUGCAAUUGUGGGACUCACUGUGACAAUGACCAAUAUUGGGAGGCAUACAAGAGGUAUAUUUGAAAGAGGUAUAUUUGUAGGUGAGAUGUUGCAGAUGGAAAAACAGUCAGAAGGUGGAUUAGGAAUAUGCAAUGUCUACGAGUAGACAACACAAGGCAGAAUAAAUCUUUUCAGGUCUCACUUGAUUCCUUUUCAGAUUGGUUUGGAUGAGCUAAUUAUUCCUCUAAGGGUAUGCUGACAUUAACAAAAAUGCUCCACAGCAGGAGAUGGUCUGUAAGGUAAAACAGUUAGUGCUGCACAGCCUGAUGUCUGCAGUAUAUGCCUUGGGGAAAUUUAUUUGUGAAUAGCUCUAGUCUGAUCCUGAGGACUUGCUGCCCAUUAGUACAGUAUGUGCACUCCUGGAGUGCAUCAUCCUGUUGAAUUUAAUGCAUAAGGAAUUAAUUGUGCACUCUGAGAUAUUCUUGGGACGUAAACCAAAACGCAGUGAGUGGGAACAACCAGGAGAUUUGCUUCAAAAUUGCACUCCUGACCCAAAUGAACACAGAAGCAUGCCAGGCCACACAAUUUACCCUCUCUCCCCCUUUAGGGGAACCUUCACUCCCCCUGAUCUGUGCCUCCAUUAGUCUGUCCUGCUUUGGGAAACACAGCCGAGCACCUGUCCUGCCAGCAGCUUGACUGCACAGAAAUGGGGCAUUUGACUAACAGGGAUUCCAUUCCAGGGAAACCAAACCAGGAUCUUCUGGAUCUUGGCUGCACAGUUUUCAGUAUUAAAUCAACACGAGGAAAGGCAGAAAGGAAGAUGAGAACAAAUCUGCCUGAUGUUUGCUAUUUACUGCAUGAGCAUUUCUCUCAAAGCCAGGAAAUGGGAGAGGCAGGUCUCACCUGCUGGCAGCAGGGUUUUCCCCAUAUUCCAAUACUGCAUACUCACAGCCUGGAUCUUAAAAUCUGCUCUUUGCAUAUCAGUAAAAAAGGCUUGCUUUCGCUUCAUUACAGCAUAGUUUCUUGCAUUAAUAAGUCCAAAAGCUUCCUUCCCUAUUGUCUGACUUUCCAUUUUUAGCUUACAUUUUCAUAUUCCUAGGAGAGAUUCCCCACUUUAAUUUCCACGCAGUCCUGAAGCUGGGAAUCCCAUUACCUCGGUUCAUAUGACCUCUGGAAUGUGAAACAAGAAUCUUUAUUACAAGAUGGUCAUUCACUCCUAGAACCAGCCUCUGCUUUCUAUAAGCAGUGUGAACCUUUGGAUUUUGGUCUGCAGAGAAAACGGUAGAGAAGAGCACUACCUUGAAAUAGAGAUGAUGACAGUCAUUUGAAUUUGCUGAUGUUUUGGGAGAGGAUAAUGCAGAUCAACUGGAUGUAAUAAUGCCUGACACUAUGGACUAUAAAAUUCUGCACUGAACACUAGUUAGCACAGCAAUUCCUAGGCUAAAGAUUGCUUUCUGAGACUCAAGAUCUGCCUUCCAAAUCAUGGCACUGCAGUCUUAGGAGGAGACUGGUGAGGCAAGGGUUGUGGUGCACCUUUGGCUCCUGGAGAUACCAGCAUCCUGGAGAAGCAACUGCUCCCACUCGUGCGGGAGGUCAGUUGAGAACUUUGUCACCAAGGAAACGAUGACUCCAAGUUCUCUUAUAGGAUACCUCUCUCCCUCUUCUUCUUUCUUUUGGAUUUGAUUUUGUGCAUAAACCCAGUAAACCAUCAAGCACAAGUAAAUGACAAUUCCGUCAUCGUACAUUCUAAUGAAGCCUAUAAAAAUAGCAAAUAAUAACAAGCCAUUAAAAAAAAAAAAAAGUACAAAAUGAAUCAUGAUCAUUUUCCCUUUUCCUCUCGUAGAAUAUCGGCUUGUUCCUCCUAUGGGCUAAUGAUGUAAGAUCCUUCAAACGACAGGUGAAAACUAGAGUUGAACCAGAACACUAAAGAAAAUUUACUGAGAUAGUCAGAAUGAUUUACUAAAUAAGCUUGAGUCAGCUCUAUUUUUUUUCUUUUAAUCUAGAGCCUGAGCUUUCUGAAAACUGAUAACUUGGAAUUUGUACCUCACUGCAACAACAACAAAAAAAAUAUAUAAACAUACCAAAUACUUGUCAUUUUCUUUUAAUGGAACGAUGCAGUGAAAGAUCCAUUUUGCUGGCUUAAUAAAAGUUUUGUCAGCAUACCAGUGAAAAUGACAAAUUAUACUGUGAUUUGUGCAUACCUUUUGUGUACACUUUAGCGUACUCCCAUAUGCAGCAAACUAUUGGUAGGCUUCUGGGAGUCUGCAAAAACAAAUAUAUAAAAGGGCAUGACUCCUGAUGUGCUUGCUGGUCUUCUUUCUUUUCUGAAUGAUUUAGUGCUAAAUUUUUGAAGUGAUUUGGCAGUUUUUUGCUUUAAUGUGUGAGACCUUCUGAGCUGAGUAGGCAUGAGGGCAGGUGUGGGUUGAGCACUUGGGAAGUCAGUGCUAACGCUUCUCCCAUCCAGGGAGAUGCUCUGGUCAAGGUAUGAUAUGGCAAUGUGUCCUCAUCCUGGCAAGGGAUCAACAUUAAUGUCAUAGGUUAUGAACUUACUGCAGUGUUCUUUCAAAAACUGAGACUGAUAGCAUGAUGCAGGUAGCCAAGGCAGCUGUUAAAAUCACGUUUUUUCAUUCAGCCAGAAUCUUUCCCUUCUGACGCUAAAACAUUGCUUGGGAAAGGCAGCCCUUUUUCAUCAUUUAAUAAAUGUUGAUGAGAUUCCUGUAUUCUGUUUGUAAAUGCAAAAAAAAAAAAAAAAAGAAAAAAAAAAUUUUUACCCUUCAUGAAAACAUUUAAAAAUUAAUAUUUGAAUAGCUCAGUUAAGAACUGACAUUUGGCAGGGAUUAUAGCUUUCAUUGGGGAGGACUUUGGAGAGUUUAAGUGGAAAUUUGGUUUGAUUUGGCCAACUUUCUGAGCCUUUGAAAAGUAUAAAAUGGAUAAUGCCGAGUAUGUUUUUUCCACUAAGCUCGAAUGGAUGUAUUCAUCAUGCAUUCCAGUGUGGAUAACUAGCAGUAUUAUGAAAUAGGAAAUGAAAGUCCACAGGAACCCACGGUUCUCAGUUUCUGGUAAAUGAUCAGUUCCAUGAGCUGAGAAGGACAGACCUCUGUGGUGAGGCACCUGGGAGCUGGUGCUGUUGGUAGACAGACCUUCCCGGGCACUGGAGAUUUGGGGAGUCACAGGAAAGGGAAGGUUUUGCGGUGAAGCUUUGAGUGGGACAGUGUGAUGUUGCUUAGAGGCUCCUCCUUACAAUAAACGUUGAGAACACAGUUGGUAGGAAAUGCCACAUUGAAUGCUGUGACCUUAACUUGGAGCUUUCAAUGCACACCCUGCAUUCAACUGCUUGACUAUACCUAUUUUAUUAAAAAGCAAAGCACAGCAGCAUGUGAUUCUUAUGGCCACCAUCUGUUUUCCUGCACCGUGCUUGGCUGUGCUGUGCUUCACCUGCCAGUGCAAAUGGGAGAGCGUGGCCCAUGGGCAAGAGCCAACCAUGCUCUUGUGCCACUUGGAGCAACAGUGUGGAGUGUCACUGGAAGGCGUGCUGGUGUUUAUAAACCAUUGGCAUUCAGAGACCACCUGCAUUUCCAGUUCAUUUUGUUUCUUUACAUUUAAGGAAGACUGCACUGACCAGGGAUAGAAGGAGAAACAAGACUAACUUCUGUGAUAGUCUCCUGCUCGUUCUAGGUAUUGGCUGAAAAUCAAGGCCUGGAGAAAACUUCUUACAUAUACAUAGUCCCCUCCUUGCUAGGGUUAUGCCCUGACCUCACAUUGCCCACCGACUAGGAAUUUUGAAGCACAAUUUGGCUAAUCUGUUCCUGUGUUUCUCCACCUGAAUGAUUAGACUUGUUUCCUAAUAUCCAACUUGCACCUCUCUGGCAAGUUUUUUGUUGUUACAGAGAACAAAUAAUUUACAUCUUUUUUUGUAACUGUCUUAUAAACAUUGCACCUGUCAUUGUGGUGUCUUCACCUUGACUUUUAUCAUCUAUAAACACUGCUCACUUUUUCUCUUUUGUUUUACACACGGUUAUUCUCUGCUGUCUUUGCAAUCAUCUCAGAUGGUUAGUUCAGUGGGAAAAAUAUGUCCAAAGAAGUGUGGUAAGUAACAGCUGAGUGGGUAGUGUUCUCACACACUAAGCAGGAAAGCUGGAAUGAAUCCACAGACCUCUCCUUUUCCAUUUUUUCUUCAGUUCUCAGAAAAUCCUACUAAUCAGGGCAAGGUAAGUGGAAGACAGAUCCUCUGCAUCUCAUUUUUAAGCACAGCAGUGGCUGGUGAAGCACUCAAGAUUGUGAGAGUAAGUGUGAACCUGGCUCCCCUAUCCAGUGGCUUUCACUUAGGAGGGGGAAACCGUGGAUUCCCAGCCAUGUGCACUGUGUCUGUGCCUUUUUGUAUAAAGUAUAGAUAAGUUUCAGGAGCAGAAAUCAAAGCUGGACCUCUGCCAUUUGUAACAUUAUCAGCUGGCUAGCGGGUGGACACUAUUCUGCAGGCAGGUACUUAACCUCAGAAAGCUUACAAUUCCUUACCAGUUUCAUCUCUAGCAUGACAUUUCUUGAGUGGUUGCAAGGUCAAAAGCUGACAGAAAGCAGGAGGAAUCAAAGGGGAGGAGACUGUGUAGGAAAACUCAUGCUAAAGAUAGGCUUUGCUAUGUGUUGUGGUCUUUACUGGGAACACCAUUAAUAUGCCCCAGGACUCAACAUGUUCUUUCAAUAAAUGCCUCUCCCCUCCUUAUGAGGAGAUAGAAAUUCACGAAACAGAAUCUAUUUUUAUUUAAAACCAUUCAGUUAAGUAUGAAUAUAAAAGUAUGUAUUAAUGUUUUCGAGUGUAUGCUAAGAGAAUGUUCUCUAACAUACUUGGCAGGCUUUCCAUGAAAAAAUUCUGUUGUUCUCAGUCAACCAUCCCCAAAGAUUUCAGUUGUGCUCACAUAACAGCAUAGAGCUUUUCACAUGUCAGGGGAUAAUUUAUUUCUUGGAUUAAUGAAUGUAAUUUUAUUGAUUCUAAUAUUUUAUCCAGGAUUUAUUAUAGAGCAGUCUCUAAUUUACAUUCUGCUCAGGUGAAUAGUGCCUUACAUUUGUCAUCAUAAUGAUGAUUGAUUGGAGGUCUCUUAUUACAAAGCAGUGGUGUGAUUGCUCCCAUUAUAUUCUGAAUAGGAAUGACUACGAAGAACUCUGCUGUAUGUGACAAUUUCUUGUCAUUUUCCUGCAGUCUCAGCUGAGGCCAACUGAAUUGGAAGGAAUCUUUUUCUUUAUUUCUGAGGUCCUCUUUCAAGCCUGAUUUGAGGAAAGUGACUUAAAUCUGGGACACUACCCAUCCAAACCUGGCUUUUUUUGGUGUCUGCUAUGUACCUAUGGUCUUUGGCUUUUAAACUUCUAUUUUUCUUGAGCCUAAAACUCACUCCUAGGUAGACAUCUACCCUCAGCAAAUUUUGACUUUUGUGAAUUUCACUAAGUCACUGUUCACCUGCAGUAACAAUGAUCAAGGAAAUGAAAAUUAUCUGUAUCACUGUCUUUAUAUAGGUAACAUAACAGCAAUUAUCUGUAACUUUUGAAAAGAAGCACCGAGUAGCUAGAAUAUUCCUGUUAUAUUUUCUAUCUUUCCUUAGAGUAUGAUGAAUUUUGGUUUUUAAAGUAUUUGUUUAGUAUUACUUGUGCCAGCUGUGCGAGUUAAAGUAACUAGAAGUAGGAUGUUUGGCAUUUGCAGUAUGGAAAAUAACAAUUUACUGACUGAAGUUGCUUUUUUGGUUGCUUAUAUAAACAGAGUAAAAGGACUGUUCAGAUCUGAAGGGACAGCAAGUAGACAUCAGAAACAGAGAUGAGGAAUAAAAACUGUCCCACUGAAGAGCAAAAUGACAUUGAACCCUAAGUGUGGACGCCACUCUGGAUAUGCACACAGAGGCUGUUCAAACUUUAUAACUAUACAGAGCAUAGAAGUUAAAACCCCAUAUCUUUUCUGGACUGAACCUAAAACAGUACAAAAUCAGGCUUGGCUUCUACUGUGAUCUGAAGACUUCUGCUGAACUAGUCUAAGAGCACAGGGUGCCUUUAGGUCAAACUGAAUCUGAAAAUCAAAACUCUUGAGUUUGUUGGACUCAUCGCUCUCUUAUGAUUUAUCUUGGAUUAAAUCACUGUUAUAUAAUAAAGGAUUAAAAGCAUUAAACUAUCCUAAAGAAACAUAAGCACGUAAUUUUGUCUCAGUUACCAGAUAAUAAUAAUCUGCAAUCAUUUUUUAAUUGUUUAAUUAGAACACAUUCCUUGUUUGGUUUGGAUGGACUAGCCACACAUUUUAAAAAUAAAUUCUUGGUAUCUGAGGGCUUUUCCUCCUCUUUUGCAUAUCUGGAAUUUCAGAAUAUGUUAUGAACUGACCGUUUCCUGAUCUACUUAAGCUUCAAUCAGGUUUAACUGUAGGCAGCUCACUAAACUGCAGUGACAUGCAUGCCUUGCUUGAUCACGUGAGAAUAAUCUGGCUUAGUCGAGCCAGAUAUAAUCUCAGUGACCAAAUUUAAAAUACAAACUAAGGUGAUUGAGUGUACUGUAUUGAUAAACUGUGGGUAUUUAUUUGAAUCAUUCUAAACUCUCUGAGAGUUCAAAAUUAAUAAUUUCAAAUAUUUACAUUUAAUAUUUAUUGUACAUUUAAAAAUAAAAUUUACAUUAAAAUUGUACUUAGUAAUUAUUAGUGUUGGUACUAAAACAAAAUUAAAAAAUAUGAUUCCAGAAAUUCACAAAACAUACCUAAAUUUUUAAAAAGUAGCCUACAUACUAUACUGUAAAUGUUAGACUGAAAUACAGAGUUGAUUUGGCAGGAGAGAUUUUUGUAGAAUGCACUAAGAAUGACUAGGUUAACAACAGCGCAAAUUUGUCAGAAGGUGUCUUCUGUGAGCUGAAACAGCUCAUAGCAGUUUGUGAAAGACGUACACAGGACACACUUGGCCAGAAAAGACUUCCUCUCACUUUCCACAGUAGGACUGAAAUCACCCCAGAUCAUAAAACACAAGCUGUCAGAAAAAGUACAAGCUGCAAGGAGGUGCGUGGCACUGACAGGGGAACACAAAUCUCUGGUGGCACUCAGGGAAGUGUGAAGAAGGGCAUUCAAAUAUUAAAUCCAGGGUCAAAUGCUGUGCUUGGUUUUCCAUAGGAAAGCACAGGCCAUGCGUUUUAUAUCCUAAUUUCUGGCCUAAUUCAAAGCUGGAAGAUCUCCUAAACUAAUUUAGACAGCUCAUGGGGUUAUAAAUUUUAGUACCUCCCCGAGUUUGCACUGGUCUUCAUUUUCAUCAUUGAGUACACUGGUACCUUGGCCUGUGCUUUGGGUUAGCAAGAGAAGGGCAGGGGCAGAUCUGGGCCACCAGCCUCAGACAAGGACUACCAGGGCAAGCUGCUGCCUUUGUCUGAGUCAACAACUGUUGUUUUCAUCUGGUAUUAAAGAAUGGAUUAAAAAAUGUAUUAUUUCUGAAGUGUAAUGACAGUGAUUGUAGGCAGGUAAUUUCUCCCGUGCGCUCUCAGUAAUUUCAGUUUGCUAUUUCGUUGGCUGCAUUUUCCAGGCUUCUUUAAAUAACAGUGGAUGCAUCCUUACAUUACUGUUUUCAAAGCCAAUUUUGAUGGCAACUGCCUUACCUGAGGAGAUACUGUCCCUGACCCAAAAAGCUAAGAAUCAAAAGAUUCAACAUAAAAUUUGUUAUUCUUGCUAAAAACUGUGAUGUGGUCUUGUGCAAACAUAAUUAGUAGGUCUUUAUUUUUGUGUAUUUUCUGUUUCUUUCUCUAAGAGUGAACUUAAAAAAGGACCUGUCUUCCAGAGACAUAUAACUUGUUUCACCAGAAGCUCUGAAGGAACAUAGUUAUUUUUUCACAGGUUCUCUGCAAAUAUUGGUUGAGACGCAGGUAGAAAGGAUUUCAUCUCUCAAGAAUUAGCUAUCUAAAUUUGUCCUCUAAUUACCUUGAUUAGAGAAAUGAAAUUUUCUGGGGAACUGCAGGUAAAACAACUGAGUAUUGAACUGGUAGCAAUUAGAAAUUAAUUAUGUUAGCUACUGGUCACCAAAUGACAUGCGACUUGCAAAGAAAGACAUUUGUGAAGGAUCAAAAAAUUUUUAAUAUUUUUUUAAUUGUGGAUUUUAUUAAAAAAAAAUACCAGGAAAAAUAAAUCCCACCCACUCUUCUGUUCCAUUUGUUUAUAUUACUUUGAUAACUGGAGUCUAACUGGUGUUCUGCUGGUAAAAUUACUUUUCACUUCUGCAGCUUGACCAUGCCAGUACUUUUUGGUGGUUCUUCUGCUAUGUUUCUAAAGGGCCCAGAUUUCCUAACUGACUCCCUAUACCCCACGAGUUUUUCUGUGGUCCAUAAUAUGCUGGUUCUUCUUGGUCUAUUCUUCUCUUGAAUGAUCUUAUCUUUUCUCUUGUCUUUUCUGAGGCGUGGCUUUGAUCAUCUCUUUUCAACUUACCCUUCAUUUACAGCUCUUCUCUAGUAAAAAGUCUUUUUUUUUUCCCUUGCAAGCUUCAGAAUAAAUAUUUUAUCAAAAUGUAUGUAUCAUGUGAAUGCUUGGAAUAAUUUCUGAUGGUGAAUAAUCAGAGUGUUCCAUAUUUUUCCGUAGUUUGCUGUCUGGUCUUUGGAGUCGUGGUUCUUUAGUCCUUUACUGGUGAUACCUUACAAUCCUGACCCUGCAAGUUGAAAUAAUCUUGUCUAAUCUUGGCAGGAAGUACUAUGUUCAGAAGUAAGUGUUCUGAUUUAGCAUCCUGGGGUAGACAUUCAUUGUGGGAGUGUUUUCUAACUUGACACUUGUCAGCAACCCUGACAAUAAUCCCAUAGGACAAGAGGUUACUCUGUCAUCAGCCCACCUGUCAGUCUGUGCUUUGAAUGCCAGUAAAAUGCCAUUUUCACCAUGAGAGAUGAUAAACAAAUAUUCAAAUUAGCUUAUUUUGCAUAGUCGAAGAGUUUCAAAUUCAUUAUGUUCUACCAAGAGAUACUUAUUAUGGUUAUUUUUUUUAAGAAAACUGAAAACAGCUUCUAUUUGUUAACUGUUUAUUUCGGUAAAUAUCAAGUGCUGAAUUAGUACUGUGCAUUAACACAUAACAGGAGAGGAAAACACAGUGACUGAUCCCAUUGUUCAAGCUUGUACUUUAAGUAAUGUCAUGUUUGUGGUAAAGAGAUAAGAAGUGACUAGUCUGAUGUACCCUCAGGGAGCUGAUAAGUGAACUACUGAAACAAAUGUAAGGAGGAUUAUGAGAUUGGGAGGGAAUAAAAUGAAGACUGAUAACAUUUGGAAUCUUGCAGCUAUUUCUUCUGCCUCCCAAAGAUUAAUUUUAGCUGAUGAUAUUUUUUAGAAUGAUUUAAUAAUGAACAAAGGGUUAUGGUUUAAAAUGCUGGUAAAGGGAGGAAUUUAGCAAAUGACUGUAACAUGGAGGUCACAAGAACUGAGGAUGCUAUUGACAAAUUGCUACCAAAGCAAUUUCCUUGCAAACUGAUGACUGGUAAAUUUAUCUCUGACUUAAAAGAUUUAAAAAAUCAGUGAACAAGAGGAAGUAUAUGCCAUGAUGUGUUUGAUUAUAGUCAAGCACUUGUAUUUAUUUUAGAAUUGUGGAUGCAAGUCCUUGGGCUGCUGCUCCAUGAGGCGCUUACAAGAAGAUUUGCAAAGCGUGUAAUAUCUGUGUAGCAGUGUGUGUGCUGAAUAAAGGAGGCCUUGAAAGACAGAGAUGUUGUUCAGAAGGGCAGUGAUGACAGAAACUUUAUGAUAUUGCCAUAUGAUACUGAACUGAACCUAGCUCAAACAGGAUUCAGAUUUAUUCACCAGAGAAUAUCAAUCUUUCAAAGAAAUAAGAUAGCUGCUCUUUUGAUUUAGCUUUAUCAGACAUACCACAGUGAGAUGCGCCUCUCCAUCACCAGAGAUUCAACGGAACUUAAAGUAAAACCAACAAACAAAACCCCCACCAAAACUAAACCAAAACAAACAAACAAACAAUCAAACCAAGCAACAAACAAAAAACUAAAACAAAAACACAGUAGUGGAGUUUAUAAACCAAACAGAAUUUUGGUGGGGUUGAAUGAGAUGAGAUUCUCCUGUUCCUACUGCAGAAGAGGGGAAAAAGCUGUUCUAUUGCUCUGUGGUCUAUAUCAUGUUUUUCUUGAAAUUUCAUUAGAAAGAGGUCCCAACUGACUUAGGAAGGAACUGCAAGUGUAUUUUACCAAAUUGGAAGGGGAAAAAAAGCAUCUUCCUUGCAAAAAAAAAAAAAAAUAUGUUUCUCAAACCAUUUUUAACCUAUGAUCUAUUUUACACUUGUGUAUAUGGUUUCUGUGACUAGAUCAUUGAGAGCAGAAAUUCACGGUUUAAGAAACUGGCGUAAAGUUUCCGCAACUUAACAAGGCAAAUUGUGUUAAAAUCAACAAGCUAUUAUUUUGAUAGGCAUUUUUUUUCUUGUAUCUUGCUUGUCUGAUAGAUUCCUCUGUUUACAAAGAAAACAACCCCUGGCUAGUGGUGUUAUUGAAAUCAAUGGUUUUCAAACAUUUUUCUGAAGUUUUCAAGUGGGUGUAUGGACUCCAUGCAAAUGAGGUAAGCUUAUGGACAAGGAACCUGCUUCCUUUGGUUAACUUUUGUAGCCUCUUUAGAAGUAUUUUGGAGUUCCCCAACAGAAUGUGUACCACAGGCUGAAAAAUACCACUUUGGUUGGCUUCAUUUGUCUACAUUCAUGUAAAUUUUGUUGUUCUUAAGGGUGAAAUAUAGAUACUAUUUAGUAUGAUUUGGCUUGUUUGUGCCUGUGGGAGCGACAGAGGGUAGAUUUUUUUGCCUUUGGUGAUAGCUGUUCCUAGCAUACUUGGUAGCUUGUACCAGACCUACAGACAGUCCUCACAUUGAUGGGAGUGACCAAAAUUUGUCAUCUUGUGCCAGCAAGCAGCCUACAGUCCCUUUGCUGUCCUUUCACAGAAAACAUAUUUCUAUCUUAAUCCAAUGUGUGAAUCAGUCAGAGAAGAGUUUUAAGUGUCAGGGGAUGGAAGAAGAUGUUGGAAGAUCCAGUUGACGGCUUGCUCUAACAUUUUCAUGUACAGAACAGACCGAGCCCCCUCUUCCCAUAAUUUAAACUCCCACUGUCUGCAGAAUGGAGCUUUUGUGCCAACACCAACUAUAUGAUAGUGCAGAUCAAGGCCGAUGUACUCAACUCGUUGCUUUUGCUGGACUGCGACUGCCAGAAUCAGUCACUUUAUGAAAUCUAUUGUAGUCUUAUUUCUCUAGUUUUGUAAAGCUUAUUUAUAUAAGCCCCACUCACAGCAGUUAAUCAAGUGUCUUUGUAGACCGAUAAAUAAAUAAUCAGCAACAGGAAUAUGUUAAAAGCAGUCAUUAGCAUGUACCUCGCAUCAAAUAAAAAAGUACUGCAAUUAAUCAUAGGGACAUAAUUUGUCUUAACCCCAUUUUAGAUUGCUGUUUUAAGUGCAAUUUAUGCUACACACCCACCCAUGUCUAUUUUAAUCAAACAUUUUGUACCGAUGGGUAAAUUAAAGUCAUAUAAGAACUGAAAGUUGAGAUGUGAUAAAGAAAAGGUUGUUGGGCCCCUCAUUCCAACACUAUAAUAUGCCAGGUAAAAAAAAGCAAAACCAAAGCAAACAAAACUUUUUAUCAUAUAAAAAGACCUGCGAAUAUUCUAAACCAGUCUACCAAAAAGUCAAAGUAAUAUAAUGUUUUUUUCAUUAACCAUUUGAUGUCACCUGAGCACCUACAAAGUUUCACAAUUCACAUACAGACAGAAGGUGAUCUGAUCACUGCUUAUUUCCUGCAAACAUCAUAGAUGUGGACAAAAAAAAAAUAUUUUAAAUACAAUGAGUUUUGUUUCACUGAUAAACUCUGGAGCACUGUACAGCCACAUGACAGGGCCAUUUGUGUCCCAGCAGUCACUCAUAAAUGACAUUGAUCUAGUGAUGUUCUUGAUGCAGAUCUCUUGUAUGUUACCUGAAAUUGGCUGCUACUCUUUGAACUGAUUUUGUUUUUCAAAGAGGAAAUUAUCCACAUGAGCAACAGUAAAAUUAGAGUGUAACUUGGCAGCAAAAAUUUAAAAAGCAUUGGUGUGACCUGUCUCACUGUGUCACUGACCUUCCUGCUGCUUCUUGUGCUUGAAAUUCUUCUGUCUUAAUAUACCAUCUAUCUUCAUCUGGAACAUACCAGGAAAUUGUUGCUAAUAUUUCAUUCCAUCUCAGACAGCUAAUUGUUAAGAUUACUGGGUUUUAUCUAUUAGCAAAUAGUCCAAACAGUCUCAAUUCAAAUCAUUAUAAGAAUCCAUGCUGCAAUGUUCUGGUGAAGAAGUCAAGGUAAGUAAUCUUAUUAAUAAAAGAGAAGGAAAAAAAUUGUCAGCUUUCCAUUUGAAUAGACAUUACGUUUAUGUGCUUCUGAAUGAAUAAGGCAUCUGUUUCAGAAGUUCACUUUCCUUCAGUUACUGAAACAGUAGAACAGAUAUAUCGUGCCAAGGUCUGUCUAAUCUAGUACUGUAUCUUUAAUGCAAAUGAUACCUGAUACUUAAGGAAAAAUGUAAGAACAAGUGAGGUACAGAGUGAUGGGCAAAUUGAGCCUUCAGCCUUGAAAAUCUGGUUGCUAACUUCUUGAAGUUGUAUCAAACAAGGACUUUAUGUUCAUUUUUAUGUCCCGUAGAUGAAGCAAAUCUGGUAGUUUGCAGAAUUUGGUUCAAAUUUUUAUGAAAAACAGCAUUUCUAGCAUUACCAAAAGAAAAUAAGUGGUUUGUACGUAAUUUAAAAAAAAAAAUUCUGAUGUUCAGAUGCAAGCAUGAUGAUUUGCCUUUAUCAAUGGUAGGGAAAAACAUGCCAGCCUCUGCACAUUUAAUAUCAACUAUUAGUAUGGACUGAGUCUACUUUGGAUGCAAACUCUUUGUAAAUCAGAAGACUGUGAUCCAAAUUUACUAAACGUAGAACAUCCUCUGUAGGCAUGUCUGUUUUAGGGCAUUAAAGAUGUUAUUUGACCAGUAUCUCACUGCUUCUGCAUAUAUUUUUUUUUCCCUUGUGUCAUUACUUGGUAAGAAACGUUCCGGAGAAGCAAGAGUUGCUGUAAGGCAGUUGUUAUCUGUUCAGUCUUGAGAGAAAUGGUCACAGUGAACAAUUCUGUUUUUUAAGCCUCAGGAUGCGAUGUGGAUAUUUGCACUGGCAUGUCCAUUCCACGGAUUUCUUCACUCAUAAAAUACCUACUGUAACUUAACUCAAAGCUUCCAGCAGCACUUGGAUGUGUGGCAGCUUCCUUGAGCUGUCUGUGUUGAGAUGCCACCCUUAUUUAUCAGCAGUUGUGUGCAGAGAGAGGAUUUGAUGAGGUGAUCUGGCUUGAGCUGUCUACACUGUGUAGUUUGCUGCAGGCACAGAAUUUUUGUAUUUCAUUGGGCUCUAGCAAUGCAGGUAAUUCACGUGCCUUGGCUCAGUUUUGGAGCAGAUGGAUGCCACUCGGUCCUGGCAUGUUAACAUUAUGCUACUGGGUUGCAGAACAUACUACAUAAUUGUCAUGGAAAAGAUUCAUCCCUUAACUAUGUUUAGAAAACUCUGAACUUCCUUGAAACUUGCAGCUUUGUUCAUCUCUAGAGAAUGCAGAACCAUCACCACAUGUACGUAGAUUUAUGUACAACUGCAUUGUGCCAUAAAAAUUCCUGUAUGUCUGUACAUAUAUAUUGCACCAUUAAAAUCCCUCUGGCAAA